GGCGGCGUGCUUAACACAUGCAAGUCGCGUGCGCAGUUUCCUGUAGCAAUACAGGGGAUGGGCGCACGGCGCACGGGUGCGUAACACGUGGGCAAUCUGCCCUCCGAUGGGGAAUAACCCCGCGAAAGCGGGGCUAAUACCGCAUAACAUUCCUUGGACGAUGGUCUGAGGAUUCAAAGCAGUAAUGCGUCGGAGGAGGAGCCCGCGCCCGAUUAGCUAGUUGGUGAGGUAACGGCUCACCAAGGCAAUGAUCGGUAGCUGGUCUGAGAGGAUGAUCAGCCACACUGGAACUGAGACACGGUCCAGACUCCUACGGGAGGCAGCAGUGGGGAAUCUUGCGCAAUGGGCGAAAGCCUGACGCAGCGACGCCGCGUGGGGGAUGAAGCUUCUCGGAGUGUAAACCCCUUUCGACUGGGACGAAUGCCUCGCAAGAGGAGUGACGGUACCAGUAGAAGAAGCCCCGGCUAACUACGUGCCAGCAGCCGCGGUAAGACGUAGGGGGCCAGCGUUGUUCGGAAUUACUGGGUGUAAAGGGUUCGUAGGCGGUGUGGCAAGUCAGGAGUGAAAUCUCUGGGCUCAACCCAGAGGCUGCUUCUGAAACUGCUGUGCUCGAGUGUGGGAGAGGCGCGUGGAAUUGCAG
rnacentral:rRNA from 1 species